rnacentral:rRNA from 1 species
GAUGAACGCUAGCGGGAGGCCUAACACAUGCAAGCCGAGCGGUAGAGAUCUUUCGGGAUCUUGAGAGCGGCGUACGGGUGCGGAACACGUGUGCAACCUGCCUUUAUCAGGGGGAUAGCCUUUCGAAAGGAAGAUUAAUACCCCAUAAUAUUUAGAAUGGCAUCAUUUUAAAUUGAAAACUCCGGUGGAUAGAGAUGGGCACGCGCAAGAUUAGAUAGUUGGUAGGGUAACGGCCUACCAAGUCUGCGAUCUUUAGGGGGCCUGAGAGGGUGAUCCCCCACACUGGUACUGAGACACGGACCAGACUCCUACGGGAGGCAGCAGUGAGGAAUAUUGGACAAUGGGUGCGAGCCUGAUCCAGCCAUCCCGCGUGAAGGAUGACGGCCCUAUGGGUUGUAAACAUCUUUUGUAUAGGGAUAAACCUAGAUACGUGUAUCUAGCUGAAGGUACUAUACGAAUAAGCACCGGCUAACUCCGUGCCAGCCGCCGCGGUAA